GCCACUUUAGCUCAGAUGGUAGAGCGUGUCUCUCGUAAAGACAAGGUCUGGAGUUCGAGUCUCCAAAGUGGCUCCA
rnacentral:tRNA from 1 species